UGAUAGGUGAGUUUGGUGAUGGCUCUGAUUGAACGCUGUCCAAAUGCUUGACACAUGCUAAUCGUACGUUUAAUUUAUGCUCUUCGGAUCUUAGUAUCAGGGCGCCAUGAGUGUUGUAGUGGUGUAAUAUCUUAUAUAAGAUAUUGGAGGUUUAUUAAAAGUGGUGUACAGGUGAGUGAAAGAUAAUCGGCCGACCUUGAAGAGAGGGGAUAAAAAAUCCCUCAUAAAUAAAAAAUAGUCGGCUAGCUAUUUGUUUGAGCGCACCUCGUAAGAUACUUCAUAUCCCCCAGAUCCCCCUCCUUAAUCCCCUCUAAAGAGGGGAUCAAGGGAUGAGGGGGAUGAGAGGUGCACUCAAACAGGAUAAAGGGUGUAAUAGCCGCUUUAAGAGGAAAAGAUAUCUGCGGGAUAGGUAGUAGUUAAGGUAAUGGCUCAACUAGCCAAUAAUUCUCGGAGUCGAAGCUGAAAUGGUUGAUCGACCACAUUGGGGAUGAAAAAAUCCCAAGGCGUAUUAGUACAGCAGUGAGGAAUUUUGGUCAAUGGCCUAACGGCUGAACUGGCAACUUGGACGAACGGACUAUAAUUCAUAUGAACUAAUAUUCCCGAGUUUGCAUAAUUUUGUAGAUAGUACGGAAUAGUAGAGGAUCCUUUUUAGGAAUAAAGUUCUUAGUAUAUAUUGGAUAAUGACAGAUAUAUAUCUUAUGCCCUGACCAAUUACGUGCCAGCAGUCGCGGUAAUACGUAUGGGACUAGUGUUAUUCAUCUUAAUUAGGUUUAAAGGGUACCUAGACGGCUAAUGUCCACCUCUAAAAGGUAACUAGUUAGCUAGAGUUUUAUAUGAAGGGGCCGAACUUGUGGAGGAGAGUUUAAAUUCUUUGAUACCUAGAGGACGGAUAAAGGCGAAGGCAGCCUCUUAUGUAAAAACUGACGUUGAAGGACGAAGGCAUUGCGGCACGAAAAGGAUUAGGGACCCUAGUAGUCUUUGCAGAAAAUGAUGAAUGCCAUAGGUUAGGUUAAUCCUUAGUCUAUAAACGAAAGUGUAAGCAUUUCACCUCAAGAGUAAUGUGGCAACGCAGGAACUGAAAUGUUUAAUUCGAUGAUCCACGAAAAAUCUUACCACAAUUUGAAUAGAAUAAAGUAAUCAAAAUAUAAGGGUGAACAAAUAUCUCUUCUUUUUUAGUAGUAAAGAAAAUAGAUACCUACUAUAAAGUUAAUAUUUAUUCUCAAUUAGUUUUCCUUCAUGCAAGGACCAGUACUGGUCCUUGCAUGAAGGAGGAAGUUUAUUCAUACAAGUGUUGCACGGCUGUUUCCAGUUAAUGUUGUGAAACUGUGGGCAAAAGCCAUGGAAUUAACGUAAACCUGAGCUUUAUUUGUAAAAAUAUUUUGAUAGAGCUACAUCAUCUGCUAUAUUGGAUUUGAUAACAGGGACUAAGACAAGUCAUCAUGGCCUAUAGACGUGCCACAUAUACCAUAACAAAGAGAUGCGAAAAUGCGAGUUUUAGCUAACCUCAAAAAAAUGGAUAAAAAAUAUAUGGAUUGUAGCCUGAAACUCGGCUGCUUGAAUAAGAAAUUGCUAGUAAUCGUGAAUCACCAUGUCACGGUGAAUCCAACCUUGGAUUGGUACUAACCACUCGUCACAUGCUGAAAGUUGUAUGCGCAAUAAGUUUGCUUUCUUAUUUUAAGUCCAUGUAAGAACGGAUUACAUUCUUUUAAUAGGGUUCUUCGUAUGCGUGACGGCAAUUGGUGUUAAGUCGAAAUACGGUUCGUGUAGUGGAAGUUGCACGGGGCUAAUUAACUUU
rnacentral:rRNA from 1 species